UACAGAGGGGGCAAGCGUUGUUCGGAAUUACUGGGCGUAAAGGGCGCGUAGGCGGCCCGCUAAGUCACACGUGAAAUCCCCAGGCUUAACCUGGGAACUGCGUGUGAUACUGGAUGGCUUGAAUUCGGGAGAGGGAUGCAGAAUUCCAGGUGUAGCGGUGAAAUGCGUAGAUAUCUGGAGGAAUACCGGUGGCGAAGGCGGCAUCCUGGACCGACAUUGACGCUGAGGAGCGAAAGCUAGGGGAGCAAACGGG
rnacentral:rRNA from 1 species